GUCAAGAAACCUCAAUUCAAAUCCUGCCAUAAACACUUGCCAGCUGUGUGAUAAUGGGACAACAUUAACAGAAUGCAGUAAACAUCUAGGACCAAAGAAAUUAAUCACUUUGGAAGGAAUAUAAAAAGUAUGGUGACAAGCAGAUUGAGAUAAGAUUGAUGAAGAAGGGUUGAUAUCUGCUUAAAGAAGGCCUUGGAUACCAAGCAAAGAAGUUAAGGUUCACUCAAUAGACAAGAGAAAAAAAAAUUGGCAAAGAAAGACACACUCUCGGAAUUGGAA
rnacentral:lncRNA from 1 species